GUCACCAUGUAGCUGAAGAUGACCUUGAACUUCUAAUCCUGGCUCUGCUCCCCAUUUCUGGGAUUACAGGCUUGGGCGACUACAUUCCAUUUGCAAUGUUUGGAUGAUACCCAGCACCUCAUAUGUUCAACAAAUGCUCCCCCACACCAUCCUGCCUAGUGUGCCUGAACCGCGCUCAGGAAACGGGUAAUGUCGAGGAGUAAACGUAUGAUAAAUGUGA